UAAACAACCUGCCUUAAGGAUGGGGAUAACAGACGGAAACGACUGCUAAUACCGAAUACGUUCUAAGCAUCGCAUGGUGCAUAGAAGAAAGGGUGGCCUCUACAAGAAAGCUAUCGCCUUAAGAGGGGUUUGCGACUGAUUAGGUAGUUGGUGAGGUAACGGCUCACCAAGCCGACGAUCAGUAGCCGGUCUGAGAGGAUGAACGGCCACACUGGAACUGAGACACGGUCCAA
rnacentral:rRNA from 1 species